GCUGGGCGUGGUAGCGCACGCCUGUAGUCCCAGCUACUCGGGAGGCUGAGGCGGAAGAAUCGCUUGAAACUGGGAGGCGGUGUUGCAGUGAGCCAAGAUGGCGCCACUGCACUCCAGCCUGGGUGACAGAGCAAGACUCUGUCUCAA
ensembl:misc_RNA Metazoa_SRP Metazoan signal recognition particle RNA